UAGCAUGCCCUAGAUAAAUAAAUUUCAAAUAUGUUUUGUGUUUUAGAAAAAUAAAAACUUACCAGGAUUUUGCCGUGCACUUUUUUUCAUUCCUCCAGAAGGUGCCAAAAUAAACUAAGUUGGGAAACAGGUUUGAGAACUUCCCCACAGGUAAUUAUUGAAGUGAGCUGUUUUGUUUGACAUGGACAUGAGAUGGACAAUAGAUACCUGACAAUAAUUGGUUAUUUAAACUGUGUACCUGAGUGGACCAUAUCAAGGUAAACUCAACUGUUUAUUAAUUUUAUCAUCUUUUGCAGGGACGAAAAAAGUGUACGGUAAAAUUCAGUUAAGUUAUGAAUUUUCUAAAUCAUACAAUGCAUUUGAAUUCUAUUUAUCUAGGGCAUGCUAUGCCUUAAAACUUCUCAAAAUGCACAGGUUUGCGUGUACUCGGAUUACAUUUUGAGGUGAAAAUACGGCCAUUUUAGCCAUAGGGUCCACAUGAACCUUAA
rnacentral:lncRNA from 1 species